rnacentral:rRNA from 1 species
AAGCCUGAUGCAGCGACGCCGCGUGAGGGAUGACGGCCUUCGGGUUGUAAACCUCUUUCAGCAGGGAAGAAGGCCUUCGGGUGGACGGUACCUGCAGAAGAAGCGCCGGCUAACUACGUGCCAGCAGCCGCGGUAAUACGUAGGGCGCAAGCGUUGUCCGGAAUUAUUGGGCGUAAAGAGCUCGUAGGCGGUUUGUCGCGUCUGGUGUGAAAACCUCAGGCUCAACCUGGGGCGUGCAUCGGGUACGGGCAGACUAGAGUGCGGUAGGGGAGACUGGAAUUCCUGGUGUAGCGGUGGAAUGCGCAGAUAUCAGGAGGAACACCGAUGGCGAAGGCAGGUCUCUGGGCCGCAACUGACGCUGAGGAGCGAAAGCAUGGGGAGCGAACAGGAUUAGAUACCCUGGUAGUCCAUGCCGUAAACGUUGGGCACUAGGUGUGGGGCUCAUUCCACGAGUUCCGUGCCGCAGCUAACGCAUUAAGUGCCCCGCCUGGGGAGUACGGCCGCAAGGCUAAAACUCAAAGGAAUUGACGGGGGCCCGCACAAGCGGCGGAGCAUGCGGAUUAAUUCGAUGCAACGCGAAGAACCUUACCAAGGCUUGACAUGCACCGGACGCUGCCAGAGAUGGUGGUUCCGCAAGGUCGGUGCACAGGUGGUGCAUGGUUGUCGUCAGCUCGUGUCGUGAGAUGUUGGGUUAAGUCCCGCAACGAGCGCAACCCUUGUCCUAUGUUGCCAGCGGGUCAUGCCGGGGACUCAUGGGAGACUGCCGGGGUCAACUCGGAGGAAGGCGGGGAUGACGUCAAAUCAUCAUGCCCCUUAUGUCUUGGGCUUCACGCAUGCUACAAUGGCCGGUACAGAGGGCUGCGAUACCGUAAGGUGGAGCGAAUCCCAAAAAGCCGGUCUCAGUUCGGAUUGGGGUCUGCAACUCGACCCCAUGAAGUCGGAGUCGCUAGUAAUCGCAGAUCAGCAACGCUGCGGUGAAUACGUUCCCGGGCCUUGUACACACCGCCCGUCAAGUCACGAAAGUUGGUAACACCCGAAGCUCACGGCCCAACCGGUUCGUCCGGAGGGAGUGGUCGAAGGUGGGACUGGCGAUUGGGACUAAGUCGUAACAAGGUAGCCGUACCGGAAGGUGCGGCUGGAUCACCUCCUUU